GCACCGGUAGCAUACGGUAUGCACACCGUCCAAAUUGAUGACCUUCGGGGGGACGGGGUUCGACUCCCCGCCGGUGCU